CGGAGGGUGACGUACCUCGAACCCAGUCACCUGAUUGGCUACCCUCAACUGAUGGCGGGCUCCACGCGCAGCAACUUCACACGACUCAAAUAACCGCCACAUCUUUCAGCAUUCGUCUGUCACCGAUCAACUUUGAAAGUUCGUUCGAGCUCCGUAUAUCUGGUGCGUGUGGUAUUUGCUAUGCUGUGCAAGUGUAAUUGGAGGCCCAAAUCCUUUUACUAUCGGAUUAAUCAAAAUAGAUAUUGUGUCGAGGAAUGUUGUAUCCUGAACUGUGCAAAUAGGUCUUUUCACCGUAUCAAAAGACGAAAUAAAUUUUGGUUCAAAAAGAACGUUAUUGUGUUUGGUGAAAAACUUUAUUAUUUGUACGUUUUGUAGUGCGAGGGGAGACAUUUUUUGUACUUUUAACAUGUCUUGUGUGUGAAGUGAGUGAACCACGGAGCGAACAACGAUUUCCGAGCGACGGCCAUCUUGCAUAAGGUAAGAAACUAGUUUGGACCUGUUGAGACGUAAGGUGCAGAGACCUGUUGUGCCGAGUUCGGCGGGUUCGACUUUGCAGAUUGAAGGACAAAAACCGAUUGAAGGAACAACGAACAUCCUACAAGUAUUCUGCGAUGGAAAUCCGAGCAACUGCUUUCCGUCAUCAUUUGAUUGGGAUGAAUUCCAGAAACGAAUGGAAAAGAUCGACAAGAUAAUAUUGACAUACGAACCUGCCACGCGGGAUCGGCAUGCUUGUAGUAUGUGAAGUUUUCUCUUAUCCAUCUGU